CGGGGCUCUGACGUCACCUCCCCUCCCCCCAGCCGCUCCUAGAGGGAGGAGUAGGGAAAAGAAGCAGAGAGAUCCGCCGCAGUUGCCAGCCGUAACUCCUCAACUCGGCAGCUGGCUGCCUGGACAUGUCCUGACAAACUUGGCUUCCCCUCGGCGCUCUCCCCAGACCUCGUGCGCUCUCUCUCCACCUCUUUUGGUGCUCAAACUUUCCCCGGGUCGAGAGCCACAGAGAAGGCGCCCACCUGAGUCCCGCCAGCACUGGAGGAGGAUCGCGCUCUGCUUGGGGAUAUGCUGAAGAUCCAAGGGAGGCAAAGUUGGUACUUCGAGCCCGGAUCCUAACAAAUAUCCAAACGGCGUGGGAAUUACCCAACUGCCGGGGACUAGAAGGGAGAGCACCGAGGACCGGGCUACUGUGCCAAAAAGGUAUCUCUCCAUUUCGUUCCGUUGGUGGCUAAAGGAUUAGGAAGAUGUGGCA
rnacentral:lncRNA from 1 species